rnacentral:tRNA from 1 species
GGGCGAGUGGUGAAAUGGCAGACACGAGGGUCUUAGGAGCCCUUGGCGCAAGCCGUGCAGGUUCAAGUCCUGUCUCGCCCACCA